rnacentral:lncRNA from 10 species
CUAUCAUUCUGAGGCCUUCCCACCCAUGUGGAACUCUGAACUCACAAGAAAAUAAGGAAGACCUCCUGGAGGGAAAACAAGCAAGAACUGAAAACAAGUGCCGUCAGUGAAUGGAAUGAGGAUGUAGCAGUCUCUUGAGCACAGUGAGAUGGCUCACCAUACGGGGAGAAGCGGCAAGCUAUCAACUUUGGAUCUUUUCUGGAGACACUGAAAUUGGUUCCAAAUUCUAAAUUGUCUAAACUCUAAAUUCUUUUCGAGGUCAUACAAUGGAUUCAAAGUCUAUAUCCAUAAGAAAUACUGCAUCAAUCAGAGCACAUAACUAAAAAUUAUGUGUUAAAUGUGGUUAAAUUAAAUAAAGCUUUGAGCUUGAAUUAGGAAUGUGGG